AGCGAACGCUGGCGGCAGGCUUAACACAUGCAAGUCGAACGGUCCUUCGGGAUAGUGGCGGACGGGUGAGUAACACGUGGGAACGUACCCUUAGGUUCGGAACAACACAGGGAAACUUGUGCUAAUACCGGAUAAGCCCUUCGGGGGAAAGAUUCAUCGCCUUUGGAGCGGCCCGCGUCUGAUUAGCUUGUUGGUGAGGUAAUGGCUCACCAAGGCUACGAUCAGUAGCUGGUCUGAGAGGAUGGCCAGCCACACUGGGACUGAGACACGGCCCAGACGCCUACGGGAGGCAGCAGUGGGGAAUCUUGCGCAAUGGGCGAAAGCCUGACGCAGCCAUGCCGCGUGGAUGACGAAGGUCUUAGGAUUGUAAAAUCCUUUCACCGGGGACGAUAAUGACGGUACCCGGAGAAGAAGCCCCGGCUAACUUCGUGCCAGCCGCCGCAGUAA
rnacentral:rRNA from 1 species